rnacentral:lncRNA from 1 species
GGCACAUUCCACGGAGGCAGGAGAGGAGCGAUGUUGUCUUCUCGGCUGGCCUGCAGAUAACUUCUUCCAGCUAUGAGGAAUGUUGGAGUGUAGCAGGAAGGAGCGGGCUCUGACACUGCAGCCUGGCAUGGAGGCAGACCAAGGCUCUGGGCUGUUAGCAGACCACCGCCCAACAUGUGUGCAGGCCCCAGUCCCAGAAUUUCCACUACAGAGACAUCCUGAGCAAGCUUGUUGGCAAGCCUCUCCUGAUGGUCUGGGAGCCAGGUCUGCCCCAGGUGUUCUGCUGUUGAUGUGUGCUGCGGGGAGCCGGCUUAGAACACCUGAGAACAAAAGGAGAAAAACAUUAUGAAAUGUGAUUGCUACCUGGGCUAUGUCAGAUAGGAAGGAAACAAGUCUUUUGUAAGGAAGCAGGUCUCAGCCUGAAUCUCAGGGCCUCAGUAAAGAACGCCAGGAGAUUGGUGGUUUGAUGGGGAUGGUGGUGGUGAUGGCGGUGGUGGUCGUGGUGAUGGUGUGGGAGAGUCAAGGAUUUCUAAAUGAGAACACCUCAUGGAUGUGCUGCCCUUAGGGAUCAGCACCUGCCAAACCUGGGGCAGGGACAUGGUUCAUUCUGGCAUGGUCCAUUCAUUUUUGGGGCAAAUAUAAGAAGCAAGAUCAGAUCCGCCCACAUCAGGCUUGUGAGAAAACUCCAUGAGAGGCCCAGGGAACUGGGAGAUGUUCUGUAACUGAAACCUUUGUAGUUCUCUCUUAUCUUUGGAGAUACUGCUAGAGGAUGAAAUUAUAGAUAAGGUCAAGACCGGGUUCGGCUUCUUUACUGGAUAGUUUAACUCAAAUUGAAGGCUUUGGAGAGUUCUAAUUCUCCAUGUCAUGCUGAAGGCCAAAAAAAAAAAAAAAAAAGAAGUUGCAAGCCACCUCCCACCCAAAACUGAAGUUCUUUAUCACUCUUCUAAAGAGACACCAUGACAACAACACAGCAGGUAGUUUUUAUGCUCCUUCAGGUCCUUCUAACUUGAAUAACAACAUUGCUAGUUUAUCAUUCUCAACUAAGUCAGGCAAUACCUGCUAUGCAGGAUUUCUCAGCAAAAUGAUUUACUGCAAGAAACUACCAAUCGCCUGUCUCCCUUGGUGACUCUGGAGAGACUGACGAAGAUCAGAGAUAUGAAAGGAAAAUAUUUAUGAAAUAAAAUUAGAGUCCUUGCUCCUUCCACCUGGCACCACUCUUAUCUCUCUAGAGUAAUUCUAAGACUCUUAUUCAAGUUGAAAGCUCACCCUGCCUUGCCAUGAUGAAUAUUUGUAUCAUUGAAUAAUUUAUUUGUUACUCAUUUAGCUAACCAAUUUAUUUCAGGGGCAGACUAAGUGUACGGGGUGUGAACUAAUUUGCACGUACUUUUUGAUCAGAAUAAUAGUUUCAUUCUGCCACAAGUGACGCUAAACUCACACAAAGAAGCAUAGUAUGUAAGGCGCUUUGUAAAAGGAACUUGCACAUUUUCUGAUUAUUUUAGUACAUAGGGUUCAUGCUAUGCUAAGUC